GUGUUGUAUGAAAGGAGAGAGGUUAGCAUGCCCUUAAUAAGGAUGGAAGACGAUUUAGUGGCUUUACAACACACAAAUGGUUAUGGCAAUGCCAUCUACUUAGUGGCAUCUAAUCACAUUU